GUUCUCUUCGGCAGCACGUAUACUAAACUAGGAACAAUACAGAGAUUAGCAUGACCCCUGCACAUGGAUGACAGGUGAAUUCAUGAAGUGUUCCAUAUUUAA